rnacentral:rRNA from 1 species
CCACGCCGUAAACGGUGGGCACUAGGUGUGGGCAACAUUCCACGUUGUCCGUGCCGCAGCUAACGCAUUAAGUGCCCCGCCUGGGGAGUACGGCCGCAAGGCUAAAACUCAAAGGAAUUGACGGGGGCCCGCACAAGCAGCGGAGCAUGUGGCUUAAUUCGACGCAACGCGAAGAACCUUACCAAGGCUUGACAUACACCGGAAACGGCCAGAGAUGGUCGCCCCCUUGUGGUCGGUGUACAGGUGGUGCAUGGCUGU